rnacentral:misc_RNA from 1 species
GAUGAAGAACGUAGCGAAAUGCGAUAAGUAAUGUGAAUUGCAGAAUUCAGUGAAUCAUCGAAUCUUUGAACGCAUAUUGCGCUCUCUGGUAUUCCGGAGAGCAUGCUUGUUUGAGUAUCAGUAAACACCUCAACUUCCAUAUCUUUUUUGAAAUGGGAGUUGGACUUGAGUGAUCCCAACGCUUUUCCUCACCGAAAAGUGGCAGGUUACUUGAAAUGCAGGUGCAGCUGGACUUUUCUCUGAGCUUAUAAGCAUAUCUAUUUAGUCUGCCUAAAAAACAGAUUAUUACCUUUGCUGCAGCUAACAUAAAGGAGAUUAGUUCUUGUGCUGACUGAUGCAGGAUUCACAAAGACAGGCUUCGGCCGACUUUGUAAACUCGAUCUCAAAUCAAGUAAGACUACCCGCUGAACUUAAGCAUAUCAAUAAGCGGAGGA